rnacentral:rRNA from 1 species
UGGGGAAUUUUGGACAAUGGGGGAAACCCUGAUCCAGCCAUCCCGCGUGUGCGAUGAAGGCCUUCGGGUUGUAAAGCACUUUUGGCAGGAAAGAAACGUCGCGGGUUAAUACCCCGCGAAACUGACGGUACCUGCAGAAUAAGCACCGGCUAACUACGUGCCAGCAGCCGCGGUAAUACGUAGGGUGCAAGCGUUAAUCGGAACUACUGGGCGUAAAGCGUGCGCAGGCGGUUCGGAAAGAAAGAUGUGAAAUCCCAGAGCUUAACUUUGGAACUGCAUUUUUAACUACCGGGCUAGAGUGUGUCAGAGGGAGGUGGAAUUCCGCGUGUAGCAGUGAAAUGCGUAGAUAUGCGGAGGAACACCGAUGGCGAAGGCAGCCUCCUGGGAUAACACUGACGCUCAUGCACGAAAGCGUGGGGAGCAAACAGGAUUAGAUACCCUGGUAGUCCACGCCCUAAACGAUGUCAACUAGCUGUUGGGGCCUUCGGGCCUUGGUAGCGCAGCUAACGCGUGAAGUUGACCGCCUGGGGAGUACGGUCGCAAGAUUAAAACUCAAAGGAAUU